UACGUAGGGUGCAAGCGUUGUCCGGAAUUAUUGGGCGUAAAGGGCGCGUAGGUGGCCCCAUAAGUCCGCUGUGAAAGUCAAAGGCUCAACCUUUGAAAGCCGGUGGAUACUGUGGGACUAGAGUACGGAAGAGGCGAGUGGAAUUCCUGGUGUAGCGGUGGAAUGCACAGAUAUCAGGAGGAACACCAAUAGCGAAGGCAGCUCGCUGGGACGUUACUGACACUGAGGCGCGAAAGCGUGGGGAGCGAACAGG
rnacentral:rRNA from 1 species